rnacentral:rRNA from 1 species
UAGGGAAUCUUCGGCAAUGGGGGGAACCCUGACCGAGCAACGCCGCGUGAGUGAAGAAGGAUUUCGGUUCGUAAAACUCUGUUGUUAGAGAAGAACAGCGCAUAGAGUAACUGUUAUGCGUGUGACGGUAUCUAACCAGAAAGCCACGGCUAACUACGUGCCAGCAGCCGCGGUAAUACGUAGGUGGCAAGCGUUGUCCGGAUUUAUUGGGCGUAAAGCGAGCGCAGGCGGUCAAUUAAGUCUGAUGUGAAAGCCCCCGGCUCAACCGGGGAGGGUCAUUGGAAACUGGUUGACUUGAGUGCAGAAGAGGAGAGUGGAAUUCCAUGUGUAGCGGUGAAAUGCGUAGAUAUAUGGAGGAACACCAGUGGCGAAGGCGACUCUCUGGUCUGUAACUGACGCGGAGGUUCGAAAGCGUGGGUAGCAAACAGG